AACGGCUUAUCUUUGCUGCGACGCCGACAUGCCGUGCACGCCACUUUUACGACUGUGAACAUGUUGCACCCACCGCACAUGCCACGCUGCCAUGUACAAGUUGCCACGGUGAAUGCUGCUUGAACAAGGCCAUGACACAUUUCCAGAUCUGUCCACUAAGAUUUACGACAUAGUCCACGCGAGGCAAGGACAACAUAGCAAAGACGUCUUCGUACUUCCGGCACGUGGAUCAGCCUUUCUUUUUGAGUCAUGUUGUUCAUCAACGGUAUAAAAGACGACUGCAUUCGGCAUUCAUUAUCUCGCCAGAGAGAAACCACAAGUGGACAUCUUUUCCGAAUAUCGAGAGAGACUUUGUGUGGCGUUGCGGCAAUGAAGCCUGGAACUCUGCUUGGCGUUGCUGCCUUCGGCUUCUUCAUCUGCGUAACGGUCAAUCUUCUCUUCGACUGCGCAACCGCGGAGAAAGAGGUGACCACAACGUGUUUCGUGGACAGAGGUAAAGAAGACUGCAGCCGUUACAAACCGGACGGGAAGACCUGCGAUGACCUGAAGUGCGAGCAGAAAAAUCAAAUCUGCUGCAUGAAAGAUUGCAACAUGACCCAUUUCUGCUUGCGGGAAACAAUAUAAGGCCAAAUCCAUGAAGACGUACAAGGAGCAUACGGCUACCGCAGACAGCAGCGCAUAUAAUCCAGAAUAAACAUUCACGCUUGGUUUGGGUUUUCUACU